UGUGCACACGGUCAAGCACACCGAACACACCGCUGCUGUCUCCCACUGGAACACGUCGCCCACCAGCGUUCACCAAGACUACUUUCAGUCCCCGUUGUGCAGAACAGCCCCCUCAAGUUCACCUAAUGAGCGCCGUUGCUCGGUGGAAUACCAACGGGAUCUCAGACGCAGUGUUUGGCCUCAGAGGACGGAACCACAGGACGGCCUCAACACCUGCUGCCAGUUUCUGUUCGGCGAGACUGAAACACCUCCAAAGGAUGAACAUUUGAAAGCCAUUUCAUCAGCUUCAAUCACAAAUUUUCGAAACCACAAACAAGCCAGAAAAUUAUGGAUUCAACAGCAAUAGCAAAUGUUUUGAAAUAUUACCAACCAAUGCCUUUAAACUAAGCCAGUCACCCAAUGCUGCGAUCACCAACAUACCAAGCUGUGUUGUCUGGCGCAGGGGCUGAUGUGUCAACUGUUCGCUGAAUGGAGAGAUUAAGUGGAGACAGAAGAGGGGGUAACAGAGAGAACAGCCAUAAACAUAAAUUGUAUGGAAGAACUCAGGAGCGAUACAGUGGGCCCAUUCAUCCGAUGACUGGAAAACCGAUUAUCUCUGAAAAGCGUCUUAAUGUCUCCUGUUACACCGCGGGCGUCGCCGUCAUUCAACUCAUUUCUCCAACACAUUAUGAAUAUCUGUCGCUACACCGAGCGACUAUCAAUGUCCUUACAAGGCAGAAAUGUCCCAUCGGCCAUCUGUUCUCGAGACAAAGGGCUCAGAGUUUGACAAAUGAGAAGCGAUUAUACCGUUAUUCUAAAUGUGGAGCAUGGACAAAAGAAUGACAGCCAGCUAUUUGUUAGAGCUGAAAAUCAUUUUGAACAGGCUUAUAAAACGCUAAAACACAAAAUGAUGUCAAAUGAUUUAUGGACUCGUAAAGAGUUUCUAAUGCACGGUCAAGGAGUUGAAAAUAUUUACAUCUUAACUUGCAGAAGUGCCAAAAAGGGUGGUGAGCAGUGUGAAGAAACAAUCGUAAAAGCGUUCAAAAUGGCCAUGACAGUGUUUCGCUUUUCAGUCAUAACAUGUGUUGCGCAAUAGUUGAUAGGACAGGAAGCUGACUACUUAAACACCAUACUGAAUGUAUCAAUGACGCAUGGACGACGCAGGACGUACAGAUGUAACUGCUGUCGAAAAUGUAGGACAGUAUAUGGGCACGAGAUUUCAGAAAGGGUUAUGUGUAAUAACGGGAAAUGACACCGGGGAAAAAGUAAUGAACACGAAGAAAGGGAGGUACAAAAAGGUAUAGGAAGCCAAGACAACAGCUGAAAACUAUCAGUAAUUAAAAAACAAUCCAGACCCUUUCCAGUGCAAAUGAAUAUGAGCUGGUGCAGUCCCAACUGAUGGCCUACAAAAAGGUCUCAUUGCCCAGGUAUCACACAAGACACAUCUCAUGAUGGGUAAAAGCAAAGAGCCUUCUCAAGACCUUUGCAACCUAAUUGUUGCAAAACACAAUGAUGGCAUUGGUUAUAGGAGCAUUUCUAAGCUUCUGAAUGUUCCAGUGAGCCCUGUUGGGGCCAUAAUACGGAAGUGGAAAGACAAUGAUUUCACCAUAUAUUUGUUUCGACCAGGUGCUCCUCGUAAGAUUUCUGAAAAGAAUAAUCAGAAGAGUUGAUGAAUGGGCAAAUCUGCUGCCAUCUACAAUGAUGAAGAUGAAACAAGGGUGGACAUUUCAGUAGGACAAUGAUCCCAAACACACACAGCCAUGGAAACUCUCAACUGGUUUCAAAGAAAGAAAAUAAAUCUGCUAGAAUGGCCCAGCCAAUCACCUGACUUAAAUCCCAUUGAAAAUCUGUGGAAAGAACUGAAGAUCAAGAUUCAUAGAAGAGGCCCACGGAACCUUCAAGAUUUGAAGACUGUGUGUGGAAGAAUGGGCCAAAAUCAUACCAGAGCAAUACAUGCAACUAGUUUCUCCAUACAGGAGGCAUCUUGAAGCUGUCAUUACUUUGUACAAAAGCCUUUGUUGGUAUUAAAUAUCAGUAAGCGUGUUCAACUUACUUGUUUUGGUUUCUUUGUAUGUAUGUAUGUAUGUAUGUAUUACUUGGGUUGUUACCAACAUCUGGUGAAAAUUUCAUGUCAAUAGCUCCUUUGGAAAUAUAUUUACUGCGAAAAAUUGUGACGUGUUCAAUACUCAUUUGACCCCUUGUAUUUGUAAAAUAAUAACUGUGCAAAAUCUAUGCUUCCCUUCACAGCAAAGCAGUUUAGCCAAUUACUGAUGUAAGACAUAAAUGAGUGGCACAACUAGCCAAACCGCAUCAGACCCUUGACCCCAGAUAAAACAGAUUCAGCCAUGGGCCAUUGUCGUUUGGCCCCGAGGCUGCGCUCUGGUCGGGGCUAGUCCCACAAGGCACCCUAUUAACAACAUGACUAGGCGAGCACGAGUAGCAUUCUUCCAAGAAGACCCAACGCAAACUCUCUCUUCCAAGACCCAUUUGAGAGAAGAACUUUGGCGGAGAAACUAGAGGUAAAACAACUGGACUCAGAUCAGCCUGACCUCACAAUCAGACUACGGACUGGCGUGCUAAAACCAUAUUUUGAUUCCCAUGCUGGGGAAAAGAUCCAGCAUGGACAGAUACGGGAGUACAGGACAUGGAGCACUCUUUUUGAAAAAAAGAAGAAAACAUAACACCAGGACACACACUGACAACUCUGUCGAUCCAGCUGUGUUCGGUAAAGUUAACAUUGCUACCCAUCUGCGACGGACACAGGCUCUGGGUGAGGAAACCCAACGAUAAGGUGGAUGAAAAAAGGCACAUUUCAUCCAAAAUAGAUGGUUUUGUGAAGUUUUGUGGGGAUUUUUAGUUGGUCUUUCCUCAAGACACGGAUUGGGAGUUUUGACAAGAAACUGUUCACAGGGGCAUCUUUCUAUUUAUAUACAUACUUACACAUUCUAUUAGAUUAUCUUGUUUCAUUAAAUGCUGAAUUGUAUUAAUAUAAUUGAUGUUGACGUGUUGGAAAAAAUGUUAAUUUUUUUUUACAUUGAAUCAUACUGGGAUGUUUGCUGAAAUUGGUUGGAUGGCCCUACCAAAAAAUAAUUCCACAAGUUGCCACUGCUGUUGAGUGAUACACUUAAGGUCUCUAUUCGAUCAAAUACUUUGUGAUUUGAUUUGUUGAGAAUAAAUAUCCUUUGGUUCUGAUUAAACAACGUUGUCACU